CUUGAGAAAACUCAGGAUAAGGGGACAAUUACAUGUGUGGAUUGCUAACUGGUUGAAGGACAGGAAACAGAGGGAACUCCAAAUGCUGCAAACCAUUGCAAAGUGAAGUUCUGCUGGCUUUGUCUUCAGGCCCAACAUGGCUUGCGAGAGAGAUUAGGAGAACUUCACAGAGAGCUCCUGCUUGAAGAACAAGAAGAUCGUUUCUUGGAGGAGGUCUGGAGGAUCUACUACAGCAGCUCUGAGGUGAACCUCUGAUAAAAACAGACCAUCCUCUGACUUUUGUAUAGGCACCUCCCAUUCUCUGGGAAAAGACAUCUUGUCUGACCCACCUAUUCAUUCUGUUUGGUCCUAUUGGUUCCUCAUGCCCUCUCCUACUAAAGAAUCAUUUACAGGGCAACUGUUUAAUCUCUGCUUUUACCCUGUCAUUUGAACUAUUUGAACUUCAUCUGCAAUUGCACUUUGCACACACUUCAUAAGAAUGUUCUUAUGUGUAGGACUUAAAACAACCUUUGAGUCUCUCUUGCACUAUUACUUUUACUUAUUAAAACAUUUAUAUCCUG